rnacentral:rRNA from 1 species
GAUGAACGCUGGCGGCGUGCCUAAUACAUGCAAGUCGAGCGAACAGACGAGGAGCUUGCUCCUCUGACAUUAGCGGCGGACGGGUGAGUAACACGUGGAUAACCUACCUAUAAGACUGGGAUAACUUCGGGAAACCGGAGCUAAUACCGGAUAAUAUAUUGAACCGCAUGGUUCAAUAGUGAAAGACGGUUUUGCUGUCACUUAUAGAUGGAUCCGCGCCGCAUUAGCUAGUUGGUAAGGUAACGGCUUACCAAGGCAACGAUGCGUAGCCGACCUGAGAGGGUGAUCGGCCACACUGGAACUGAGACACGGUCCAGACUCCUACGGGAGGCAGCAGUAGGGAAUCUUCCGCAAUGGGCGAAAGCCUGACGGAGCAACGCCGCGUGAGUGAUGAAGGUCUUCGGAUCGUAAAACUCUGUUAUUAGGGAAGAACAAAUGUGUAAGUAACUAUGCACGUCUUGACGGUACCUAAUCAGAAAGCCGCGGCUAACUACGUG